UAGCAGAGGUCCCAAGCGUUGUUCGGAUUCAUUGGGCGUAAAGGGUGCGUAGGUGGCGCUGUAAGUCGGGUGUGAAAUUUCGGAGCUUAACUCCGAAACUGCAUUCGAUAGCUGCGGUGCUCGAGGACUGGAGAGGAGACUGGAAUUCAUGGUGUAGCAGUGAAAUGCGUAGAGAUCAUGAGGAAGACCAGUGGCGAAGGCGGGUCUCUGGACAGUUCCUGACACUGAGGCAGCGAAGGCCAGGGGAGCAAACGGG
rnacentral:rRNA from 1 species